rnacentral:rRNA from 1 species
UACGUAGGUGGCAAGCGUUGUCCGGAUUUACUGGGCGUAGAGGGAGCGUAGGCGGAUACUUAAGUGGGAUGUGAAAUACCUGGGCUUAACUUGGGUGCUGCAUUCCAAACUGGGUGUCUAGAGUGUUGGAGAGGAAAGUGGAAUUCCUAGUGUAGCGGUGAAAUGCGUAGAGAUUAGGAAGAACACCAGUGGCGAAGGCGACUUUCUGGACAAUAACUGACGCUGAGGCUCGAAAGCGUGGGGAGCAAACAGGAUUAGAUACCCUGGUAGUCCACGCCGUAAACGAUGGGUACUAGGUGUAGGAGGUAUCGACUCCUCCUGUGCCGCCGUUAACACAAACAAUAAGUACCCCGCCUGGGGAGUACGGUCGCAAGAUUAAA